CCAGGUGACCCAAUUUCGAUGAACAUGCUUCAAGAUCCAAUCAAAUUCAAAUCCAAUUGAGGAAAAGGUUCUGGCAUCUCAAUUCAAUCGAUGGAAGGUUGAACCUCUUUUGAAUUUAAGGUUGAAUUUGUAAUGGAUGUUAAACCAAAGUUCAUCUAAAUUGGCAUUUCAUUAUAAAGCAACUCAGUGCGUGCCAUGGAUGCUCACUCUUAUAUUAUUAUCUUCUUGAAUAUAGAAAUGUAAGUUGGCAAAACUUUGGGUGCAAGACAACCAACUCAAACACCAAGAAAAACUUUCAAUUAAAUUAA
rnacentral:lncRNA from 1 species